rnacentral:rRNA from 1 species
AGAUUGAACGCUGGCGGCAUGCCUAACACAUGCAAGUCGAACGGGAGUAGCAAUACUCUAGUGGCGGACGGGUGAGGAAUACGUAGGAAUUUGCCCUUAAGUGGGGGAUAACCCGGGGAACCCGGAUUAAUACCGCAUGACCUCGAAGAGCAAAGUGGGGGGAUCGCAAGACCUCACGCUUUUGGAGAAGCCUACGUCGGAUUAGCUAGUUGGUGAGGUAAUGGCUCACCAAGGCGACGAUCCGUAACUGGUCUGAGACGGAUGAUCAGUCACACCGGAACUGACGACACGGGUCCGACUCCGUACGGGAGCAGCAGGUGGGGAAUUAGUGGACAGU